UACGGAGGGUGCAAGCGUUAAUCGGAAUUACUGGGCGUAAAGCGCACGCAGGCGGCUGGAUAAGUUAGAUGGGAAAGCCCCGGGCCCAACCUGGGAAUUGCAUUUAAAACUGUCCAGCUAGAGUCUUGUAGAGGGGGGUAGAAUUCCAGGUGUAGCGGUGAAAAGCGGAGAGAUCUGGAGGAAUACCGGUGGCGAAGGCGGCCCCCUGGACAAAGACUGCCGUUCAGGUGCGAAAGCGUGGGGAGCAAACAGG
rnacentral:rRNA from 1 species